AACCUGAACCUACUGAAGUCAAUAUACACAGAAAGGAUCCAAAUGGCUAGAGACCAAGGGAACAUGCAAUCAAACCCAAUAGCCUCACUGCAAAUAGCCAAUGACACUGUAGGUCAAAGGACCAUCAUACCACUGCAGCAUCAAGAAGAUCACUGAUGAGUGAGUAGACAUCCAUGUGGUUCUCGUAUUGGUCACGCUCAGUGCAAGUCAUUCUCUAACAACCAUCCGCAUCUUCACCCUAGUGUUCCUACAUUGUAGACCUGAGACUCAUCUGUCCACAAGGAAGGUGAACCGUACAUCGAUCUUAAAUGGAUUGAUCACU
rnacentral:lncRNA from 1 species